UAGGAAUUUGCCUUAAGGCGGGGGAUAACCCGGGGAAACUCGGGCUAAUACCGCAUAAACUCCACGGAGAAAAGGAUGGGACCGUAAGGCCAUUCACCUUAAGAGAAGCCUGCGUAAGAUUAGCUAGUUGGUGGGGUAAAGGCCUACCAAGGCGACGAUCUUUAGCUGGUCUGAGAGGACGAACAGCCACACUGGGACUGAGACACGGCCCAGACUCCUACGGGAGGCAG
rnacentral:rRNA from 1 species